AUGUGGUUUAAUUCGAAGACAACGCGAAGAACCUUUACCAGGUCUUGACAUCCCGAUGCUUAUUUCUAGAGAUAGAAAGUUACUUCGGUACAUCGGUGACAGGUGGUGCAUGGUUGUCGUCAGCUCGUGUCGUGAGAUGUUGGGUUAAGUCCCGCAACGAGCGCAACCCCUAUUGUUAGUUGCCAUCAUUCAGUUGGGCACUCUAGCGAGACUGCCGGUAAUAAACCGGAGGAAGUGGGAUGACGUCAAAUCAUCAUGCCCCUUAUGACCUGGGCUACACACGUGCUACAAUGGUUGGUACAACGAGUUGCGAGUCGGUGACGGCGAGCUAAUCUCUUAAAGCCAAUCUCAGUUCGGAUUGUAGGCUGCAACUCGCCUACAUGAAGUCGGAAUCGCUAGUAAUCGCGGAUCAGCACGCCGCGGUGAAUACGUUCCCGGGCCUU
rnacentral:rRNA from 1 species